GCAUAGCCGACCUGAGAGGGUGAUCGGCCACACUGGGACUGAGACACGGCCCAGACUCCUACGGGAGGCAGCAGUAGGGAAUCUUCCGCAAUGGACGAAAGUCUGACGGAGCAACGCCGCGUGUAUGAAGAAGGUUUUCGGAUCGUAAAGUACUGUUGUUAGAGAAGAACAAGGAUAAGAGUAACUGCUUGUCCCUUGACGGUAUCUAACCAGAAAGCCACGGCUAACUACGUGCCAGCAGCCGCGGUAAUACGUAGGUGGCAAGCGUUGUCCGGAUUUAUUGGGCGUAAAGCGCGCGCAGGCGGUCUUUUAAGUCUGAUGUGAAAGCCCCCGGCUUAACCGGGGAGGGUCAUUGGAAACUGGAAGACUGGAGUGCAGAAGAGGAGAGUGGAAUUCCACGUGUAGCGGUGAAAUGCGUAGAUAUGUGGAGGAACACCAGUGGCGAAGGCGACUCUCUGGUCUGUAACUGACGCUGAGGCGCGAAAGCGUGGGGA
rnacentral:rRNA from 1 species